rnacentral:rRNA from 1 species
UGUGUGUUAGUGGAAGCGUCUGGAAAGGCGCGCGAUACAGGGUGACAGCCCCGUACACAAAAAUGCACAUGCUGUGAGCUCGAUGAGUAGGGCGGGACACGUGGUAUCCUGUCUGAAUAUGGGGGGACCAUCCUCCAAGGCUAAAUACUCCUGACUGACCGAUAGUGAACCAGUACCGUGAGGGAAAGGCGAAAAGAACCCCGGCGAGGGGAGUGAAAAAGAACCUGAAACCGUGUACGUACAAGCAGUGGGAGCACGCUUAGGCGUGUGACUGCGUACCUUUUGUAUAAUGGGUCAGCGACUUAUAUUCUGUAGCAAGGUUAACCGAAUAGGGGAGCCGAAGGGAAACCGAGUCUUAACUGGGCGUUAAGUUGCAGGGUAUAGACCCGAAACCCGGUGAUCUAGCCAUGGGCAGGUUGAAGGUUGGGUAACACUAACUGGAGGACCGAACCGACUAAUGUUGAAAAAUUAGCGGAUGACUUGUGGCUGGGGGUGAAAGGCCAAUCAAACCGGGAGAUAGCUGGUUCUCCCCGAAAGCUAUUUAGGUAGCGCCUCGUGAAUUCAUCUCCGGGGGUAGAGCACUGUUUCGGCAAGGGGGUCAUCCCGACUUACCAACCCGAUGCAAACUGCGAAUACCGGAGAAUGUUAUCACGGGAGACACACGGCGGGUGCUAACGUCCGUCGUGAAGAGGGAAACAACCCAGACCGCCAGCUAAGGUCCCAAAGUCAUGGUUAAGUGGGAAACGAUGUGGGAAGGCCCAGACAGCCAGGAUGUUGGCUUAGAAGCAGCCAUCAUUUAAAGAAAGCGUAAUAGCUCACUGGUCGAGUCGGCCUGCGCGGAAGAUGUAACGGGGCUAAACCAUGCACCGAAGCUGCGGCAGCGACGCUUAUGCGUUGUUGGGUAGGGGAGCGUUCUGUAAGCCUGUGAAGGUGUGCUGUGAGGCAUGCUGGAGGUAUCAGAAGUGCGAAUGCUGACAUAAGUAACGAUAAAGCGGGUGAAAAGCCCGCUCGCCGGAAGACCAAGGGUUCCUGUCCAACGUUAAUCGGGGCAGGGUGAGUCGACCCCUAAGGCGAGGCCGAAAGGCGUAGUCGAUGGGAAACAGGUUAAUAUUCCUGUACUUGGUGUUACUGCGAAGGGGGGACGGAGAAGGCUAUGUUGGCCGGGCGACGGUUGUCCCGGUUUAAGCGUGUAGGCUGGUUUUCCAGGCAAAUCCGGAAAAUCAAGGCUGAGGCGUGAUGACGAGGCACUACGGUGCUGAAGCAACAAAUGCCCUGCUUCCAGGAAAAGCCUCUAAGCAUCAGGUAACAUCAAAUCGUACCCCAAACCGACACAGGUGGUCAGGUAGAGAAUACCAAGGCGCUUGAGAGAACUCGGGUGAAGGAACUAGGCAAAAUGGUGCCGUAACUUCGGGAGAAGGCACGCUGAUAUGUAGGUGAAGCGACUUGCUCGUGGAGCUGAAAUCAGUCGAAGAUACCAGCUGGCUGCAACUGUUUAUUAAAAACACAGCACUGUGCAAACACGAAAGUGGACGUAUACGGUGUGACGCCUGCCCGGUGCCGGAAGGUUAAUUGAUGGGGUCAGCGCAAGCGAAGCUCUUGAUCGAAGCCCCGGUAAACGGCGGCCGUAACUAUAACGGUCCUAAGGUAGCGAAAUUCCUUGUCGGGUAAGUUCCGACCUGCACGAAUGGCGUAAUGAUGGCCAGGCUGUCUCCACCCGAGACUCAGUGAAAUUGAACUCGCUGUGAAGAUGCAGUGUACCCGCGGCAAGACGGAAAGACCCCGUGAACCUUUACUAUAGCUUGACACUGAACAUUGAGCCUUGAUG